rnacentral:rRNA from 1 species
UCAGUCGUGAGGAAGGUGUUAAGGUUAAUAACCUUGGCAAUUGACGUUAGCGACAGAAGAAGCACCGGCUAACUCCGUGCCAGCAGCCGCGGUAAUACGGAGGGUGCGAGCGUUAAUCGGAAUUACUGGGCGUAAAGGGCACGCAGGCGGUUAAUUAAGUUGGAUGUGAAAUCCCCGGGCUUAACCUGGGAAUGGCAUUCAAGACUGGUUAGCUAGAGUCUUGUAGAGGGGGGUAGAAUUCCAUGUGUAGCGGUGAAAUGCGUAGAGAUGUGGAGGAAUACCGGUGGCGAAGGCGGCCCCCUGGACAAAGACUGACGCUCAUGUGCGAAAGCGUGGGGAGCAAACAGGAUUAGAUACCCUGGUAGUCCACGCUGUAAACGAUGUCGAUUUGGAGGUUGUGGUCAUGAACUGUGGCCUCCGGAGCUAACGCGUUAAAUCGACCGCCUGGGGAGUACGGCCGCAAGGUUAAAACUCAAAUGAAUUGACGGGGGCCCGCACAAGCGGUGGAGCAUGUGGUUUAAUUCGAUGCAACGCGAAGAACCUUACCUACUCUUGACAUCCAGCGAAUCCUUUAGAGAUAGAGGAGUGCCUUCGGGAACGCUGAGACAGGUGCUGCAUGGCUGUCGUCAGCUCGUGUUGUGAAAUGUUGGGUUAAGUCCCGCAACGAGCGCAACCCUUAUCCUUUGUUGCCAGCGAUUCGGUCGGGAACUCAAAGGAGACUGCCGGUGA